rnacentral:rRNA from 1 species
AGACGUCUACAUUAGAUACCCGCGUAGUCCCAGCCGUAAACUAUGCGCGUUAGGUGUAUCGGUGACCACGAGUCACCGAGGUGCCGAAGGGAAACCGUGAAACGUGCCGCCUGGGAAGUACGGUCGCAAGGCUGAAACUUAAAGGAAUUGGCGGGGGAGCACCACAACAGGUGGAGCCUGCGGUUUAAUUGGAUUCAACGCCGGACAUCUCACCGGAUAAGACAGCUGAAUGAUUGUCAAUCUGAAGGUUUUACAUGACUAGCUG